AAUUUUCGCUACAAACACUGUAAUGAAUUGCUGUAAAAAUUACAGCAAUAUUUUACAGCCGAUGGCUGUAUUUUAAUAAUACAGCAUAUUGCUGUAAAUUGCAAUGAAUUCCGGGGGCGUGGCGGUUUGAAUCAAAUUUACAGAAUAUUGCUGUAAAUUUCAAAUAUACAGAGGCAUUGUGGGAUCUCCAACGGUCAAGAUUCGAGUAGCAGCAAGAGGAGUGAUUUACAACUGUGGUAUUUAUCUGGAGAGAGGAACAAAGACGAAAGGAAAAGUGCCAUCUAAAACAACAGGCAGACUGUUCAGAAGAAACGGGUUGCGUUCAACCUACAUGUGGACACUCUUCUGUGCAAAGUGAUGGAUUUUCAGUGGAAUUUCUGAAAUCCUAUCUUUGAAUCCUGGGAUGGAACAUCAUCUGGAGCAGAAUUGUUCUUUUUGAUCGCAAGUUUGUUGGACUUGUUGUUUGGCCAUGUUGGUAUGUUCAUGAAGUGAUAAAAGUGAUGUGGGUUUUAAGAAAUGUUUUUAUAUGACCCUGUUGGUCAAGUUAUAGUUAUAAUUGUAUUUCUUUGUGUGAAGGGCCAUGAUGGCCAAUAAGUAAUUUAAAAACAUUUUCAUGACAAAAUUUUGUCCCUUUAAAAAAUAAAAUGAUUUUCUAAAUAAAAAAUAAAUUCAAAAUAA